UACGGAGGGUGCGAGCGUUGUCCGGAAUCACUGGGCGUAAAGGGCGCGUAGGCGGCUUCUUAAGCGUGCGGUGAAAGCCCGGGGCUCAACCCCGGGUCGGCCGUGCGAACUGGGGAGCUCGAGCCCACUAGAGGCAGGCGGAAUUCCGGGUGUAGCGGUGGAAUGCGUAGAGAUCCGGAAGAACACCGGUGGCGAAGGCGGCCUGCUGGGGUGGAGCUGACGCUGAGGCGCGACAGCGUGGGGGAGCGAACAGG
rnacentral:rRNA from 1 species